rnacentral:lncRNA from 1 species
CAAGGCACCAGGUUUACCCCCAACACUCAUCAGGGCAAGGCAACAAUACUUACUAUAGGGGUCCAUUCCAUAUGUCUACACACUUAAAAGUUAGAUAUCAAGCAAGAUACCAAAUAUGUUCUUUCCUCUUGUCAAAUGUGCCUUCAUAACUACCUGGAAGGACAGAUUCAAAUGCAGAAUUCUUAGAAUCCCUUGAGUUCCAUGCCAGAAUGUGGCAGCAUGAGGAGAAAUGGGCCUCUGCCUCUAGGCUGCCUCUCUUCUCAUCCUACCUCUUACUUUGUCCAUGAGGGGCCUUGCACACAAGUCCAUGCGUCCCAGCUUCAGGUCAGCGGUGGUCCCAAUUUGAAAACGGGCUACUUCAAUUUGAAACGACAUCGAUGGAACUAGAGUGUAUCAUGCUAAGCGAAAUAAGUCAAUCAAAGAAAGACCAUCAUAUGAUCUCUGAUAUGAGGAAUUUCAGAGAGGCAGCGUUGGGGGGGGGGUCAUAGCGGGUAGGGAGGGAAAAUAAUGAAACAAGAUGGGAUUGGGAGUGAAACAAACCAUGAGACUCAAUCUUAGGAAACAAACGGAGGGUUGCUGGGGGUUGGGGGUUAGGGUGAGGGUGGCUGUGUUAUGAACAUCGGGGAGGGUAUAUGCUAUGGUGAGUGCUAUAAAAUGUGUAAGCCUGAUGAUUCACAGACCUGUACCUCUGGGGCAAAUAAUACAUUAUAUGUUAAUAAAAAAAGGAAAAAAAUGGACUACAUCAGAAUUCAUAAUUCAGUUUGGCCAGUUUUA